UACGAAGGGGGCUAGCGUUGCUCGGAAUCACUGGGCGUAAAGCGCACGUAGGCGGAUUGUUAAGUCAGGGGUGAAAUCCUGGGGCUCAACUCCAGAACUGCCUUUGAUACUGGCGAUCUUGAGUCCGGGAGAGGUGAGUGGAACUGCGAGUGUAGAGGUGAAAUUCGUAGAUAUUCGCAAGAACACCAGUGGCGAAGGCGGCUCACUGGCCCGGUACUGACGCUGAGGUGCGAAAGCGUGGGGAGCAAACGGG
rnacentral:rRNA from 1 species